rnacentral:misc_RNA from 1 species
GAUGAAGAACGUAGCGAAAUGCGAUACUUGGUGUGAAUUGCAGAAUCCCGUGAACCAUCGAGUCUUUGAACGCAAGUUGCGCCGAAGCCGUCAGGCCGAGGGCACGCCUGCCUGGGCGUCACACGCCGUUGCCCCCCCGCGCCCCGCACCCAACUCUUUGGGAGCGACCGCGGGGCGGGCUGAUGAUGGCCUCCCGUGCGCUCCGCCGCGCGGUUGGCCCAAAUACCGAGUCCCCGGCGACGUGCGCCACGACGAUCGGUGGUUGAGAGACCUCUGUCGCAAGUCGUGCGCGCCCGUCGCGUGACGCGGGCUCGCAUAGCGCCUCGCGCCGCACCCGGUGCGGAGCUUUCAACGCGACCCCAGGUCAGGCGGGGUUACCCGCUGAGUUUAAGCAUAUCAAUAAGCGGAGGA